rnacentral:rRNA from 1 species
UACGGGGGGGUGCGAGCGUUGUCCGGAAUCACUGGGCGUAAAGGGCGCGUAGGUGGCGUCGUAAGUCUGUGGUGAAAGCCCGGAGCUCAACUCCGGGUCUGCCGCGGAUACUGCGAGGCUUGAGUGCUGUAGAGGGGGGUAGAAUGCCGGGUGUAGCGGUGGAAUGCGUAGAGAUCCGGCAGAAGACCGGUGGCGAAGGCGGCCCCCCUGGGCAGUAACUGACACUGAGGCGCGACAGCGUGGGGAGCAAACAGG